rnacentral:rRNA from 1 species
AUUGAACGCUGGCGGCAGGCCUAACACAUGCAAGUCGAGCGGAUGAAGGGAGCUUGCUCCUGGAUUCAGCGGCGGACGGGUGAGUAAUGCCUAGGAAUCUGCCUGGUAGUGGGGGAUAACGUCCGGAAACGGGCGCUAAUACCGCAUACGUCCUGAGGGAGAAAGUGGGGGAUCUUCGGACCUCACGCUAUCAGAUGAGCCUAGGUCGGAUUAGCUAGUUGGUGGGGUAAAGGCCUACCAAGGCGACGAUCCGUAACUGGUCUGAGAGGAUGAUCAGUCACACUGGAACUGAGACACGGUCCAGACCCUACGGGAGGCAGCAGUGGGGAAUAUUGGACAAUGGGCGAAAGCCUGAUCCAGCCAUGCCGCGUGUGUGAAGAAGGUCUUCGGAUUGUAAAGCACUUUAAGUUGGGAGGAAGGGCAGUAAGUUAAUACCUUGCUGUUUUGACGUUACCAACAGAAUAAGCACCGGCUAACUUCGUG